ensembl:lncRNA
CAGACAGAGACUGACAGACAGACAGAGACAGACAGACAGACAGACAGGCAGUCUCUGUUUCUCUCUACCAUGUGUCCUGGAUUGCCUGAAGUGGUGUCAUCUCUCUCUCCGUUCUCCAUGUCUCUGACCUGCAGUUGAUCCACCUCUCUUACUUCAAUCACUCCUUCCACCGACCUGAGAGGCGGAGAAAGAGGGAGGGUUUAAAGAGGGGUAGAGAGAGAGAGAGGGUUUAAAGAGGGUAGAGAGACGUAGGGUUUAAAGAGGGUAGAGAGGUAGGGUUUAAAGGGGGGUAGAGAGAGAGGUUUUAAAGAGGGUAGAGAGACGUAGGGUUUAAAGAGGGUAGAGAGGUAGGGUUUAAAGAGGGGUAGAGAGACGUAGGGUUUAAAGAGGGGUAGAGAGACGUAGGGUUUAAAGAGGGUAGAAAGAGAGAGGGUUUAAAGAGGGUAGAGAGAUGUAGGGUUUAAAGAGGGUAGAGAGAGAGAGGGUUUAAAGAGGGUAGAGAGGUAGGGUUUAAAGGAGGGUAGAGAGAGAGGGUUUAAAGAGGGUAGAGAGAGAGAGGGUUUAAAGAGGGUAGAGAGGUAGGAUUUAAAGAGGGUAGAGAGAGGGUUUAAAGAGGGUAGAGAGACGUAGAGUUUAAAGAGGGUAGAGAGGUAGGGUUUAAAGAGGGUAGAGAGACGUAGGGUUUAAAGAGGGUAGAGAGACGUAGGGUUUAAAGAGGGUAGAGAGAGAGAGGGUUUAAAGAGGGUAGAGAGACAUAGGGUUUAAAGAGGGUAGAGAGGUAGGGUUUAAAGGGGGGUAGAGAGAGAGGGUUUAAAGAGGGUAGAGAGACGUAGGGUUUAAAGAGGGUAGAGAGACGUAGGGUUUAAAAAGGGGUAGAGAGACGUAGGGUUUAAAGAGGGUAGAGAGAGAGAGGUUUUAAGAGGGUAGAGAGACGUAGGGUUUAAAGAGGGUAGAGAGAGAGGGUUUAAAGAGGGUAGAGAGACGUAGGGUUUAAAGAGGGUAGAGAGACGUAGGGUUUAAAGAGGGGUAGAGAGACGUAGGGUUUAAAGAGGGUAGAGAGACGUAGUGUUUAAAGAGGGUAGAGAGGUAGGGUUUAAAGAGGGGUAGAGAGAGAGAGGGUUUAAAGAGGGGGUAAAGAGACGUAGGGUUUAAAGAGGGUAGAGAGAUGUAGGGUUUAAAGAGGGGUAGAGAGACGUAGGGUUUAAAGAGGGUAGAGAGACAGAGGGUUUAAAGAGGGUAGAGAGACGUAGGGUUUAAAGAGGGUAGAGAGAUGUAGGGUUUAAAGGGGGGUAGAGAGACGUAGGGUUUAAAGAGGGUAGAGAGUGACCACUCUGAAAAAGUACAUAACAUCAAUAGCAAUACUUUGCUGUGACACAAGGUUUUCUAUUGCUUCUAACUCUAUUUCACAUUUCGGGAAUAAAAGCAUAAAACAAUUGUUUAUAGAACAGGAUCCUCCUUUUCAAGUUAAUUAUUUGUCUGUUUCAUUCAUUGUGGUUCUGUAUUCUCCUAUCCAACACAGGUGAAAUCCAGAAGGCUAACAUUUAUAAAACUGGGCCUAGAAGACCCAGUAUUACCUGUGAAGCAAUGCAUGUCUCUGACAGACCCUGGGAUCGAACCUGUCUAUAGACUCCCACGCUAGAACGUUCCGCUGAAAGUUAAAACAUGUUGACAGCGCUCUUGUCAACCUCUCUGGAUGGGGAAAUGAAAGAGGAACAGUUUGGCUCAUAGGCAUGAACAUAUACUGGGCUGAGAUUGUCCCCUCCCACUUCCCUGUAAAGACCCAUCUCUAGUAGCCAUAGUGACCCUGAGUUAGGUAUAGGAGUUCUAGCCAAGAGGAAACAGGAAUGCAGAACAUAAACUGUGUCAGGUCAGGUUAACUAAGUCAGGCUUAAGGUUAAUGUUAAUUCAAAUUGAAAUUAGUCAGACUUAAAGGUGUGUGUUGAAAUCGAGGGAGAGUUGGGUCUCCUUAGUCUUGAGGAGAUCUCUUUUAGAGUAGGAGGUGUAGCCUAGAAAACCCCUCUAAAAAGACAGGUGGAAAUAAGGGUGGGGGGGGGCUAGAGAGGAGGAGGUCAGGGUCCCAGGAAGGGAGAGAAAGGGGGAGGGAAGAGAGGAGGAGGUCAGGGUCCCAGGAAGGGACAGAGAGGGGGAGGGAGGAGAGGAGGAGGUCAGGGUCCCAGGAAGGGAGAGAGAGGGAAGAGAGGAGGAGGUCAGGGUCCCAGGAAGGGAGAGAGAGGGAAGAGAGGAGGAGGUCAGGGUCCCAGGAAGGGAGAGAGAGGGAAGAGAGGAGGAGGUCAGGGUCCCAGGAUGAGACAGAGAGGGACAUUUAAUUUCACUAAAACAUUUGUCAACAUUCUCAUCUUAGUAAAUGAACAUCGCUCUUACAUAAAGAGCUUACAGUUUUCCACAACAAUAUCACCACUACAAUCACCUUCAUUACAAUCUCUUAACAGUAAAACCUC